GACGAACGCUGGCGGCGUGCUUAACACAUGCAAGUCGAACGCUGAAGCUUGGUGCUUGCACUGGGUGGAUGAGUGGCGAACGGGUGAGUAAUACGUGAGUAACCUGCCCUUGACUCUGGGAUAAGCCUGGGAAACUGGGUCUAAUACUGGAUACGACAUGCCACUGCAUGGUGGUGUGUGGAAAGGGUUUUACUGGUUUUGGAUGGGCUCACGGCCUAUCAGCUUGUUGGUGGGGUAAUGGCCUACCAAGGCGACGACGGGUAGCCGGCCUGAGAGGGUGACCAGCCACACUGGGACUGAGACACGGCCCAGACUCCUACGGGAGGCAGCAGUGGGGAAUAUUGCACAAUGGGCGGAAGCCUGAUGCAGCGACGCCGCGUGAGGGAUGACGGCCUUCGGGUUGUAAACCUCUUUCAGCACGGAAGAAGCGAGAGUGACGGUACGUGCAGAAGAAGCGCCGGCUAACUACGUG
rnacentral:rRNA from 1 species